GAAGGACGCGACGAACCGCGAUAGUGCUUCGGGGAGCUGUAAGUAAGCGUUGAUCCGGAGAUUUCCGAAUGGGGCAACCCAGCUGGACUCAUACCCAGUUACCGAUCGAGUGAAUUCAUAACUCGACGGAGGCAGACCGGGGGAACUGAAACAUCUAAGUACCCCGAGGAAGAGAAAACAACAGUGAUUCCGUCAGUAGCGGCGAGCGAACGCGGAUUAGCCCAAACCAGAGAGCUUGCUCUCUGGGGUUGUAGGACGUCUCACAUGGAGUGACAAAGGAGUAAGGUAGGCGAAGAGGUUUGGAACGACCCGCCAGAGCAGGUGACAGCCCUGUAGCCAAAAGUUUGCUCCCUCCGAGACGGAUCCUGAGUAGUGCGGGGCACGUGAAACCCCGUAUGAAUCCGGCAGGACCAUCUGCCAAGGCUAAAUACUCCCUGGUGACCGAUAGCGAAGCAGUACCGUGAGGGAAAGGUGAAAAGGACCUCGGAAGAGGAGUGAAA
rnacentral:rRNA from 1 species